UUCGACCUCAAAUCAGGUAGGACU
rnacentral:rRNA from 1 species